rnacentral:lncRNA from 1 species
CUUGAGAAGAAACUGUCAGGACGUUUUAUAAAGGAGUUGUUCCAUUUUUCACUCCCUCCAGAAACAUGUCAACGCCCCUUGAAGAAAAGAAGGCAAUCAGGCUAACGUGACAUGGGUGGGGGAUUACGCCCACCUCAGGCCAGGUCAUCCCUUCCCCAUCCCGUGAAUGUCCGUCACGAGAGCAGAUCUAGUGAGCGCAUCCCUGGCAGGGGGACCAACUUGUGCAACUUGUGAAGACGGCACCUUCCACCUCUAGAGAGGCUGUGUCCAAGGGGAAAAUGAAUGUUGCUGCUAACAUUUGACAUCAAUCGCCCAAUCACAUGUUGUCACAUCAUUACUCAGCUCGGUGACAAAGGCAGAGGAAAGAGACGUAGCUGAAAUGGUGCUGCUGGGC